rnacentral:rRNA from 1 species
GAUGAACGCUAGCGGCAGGCCUAACACAUGCAAGUCGAGGGGCAGCACAUAAAGUGGUUUACCACUUUUGGUGGCGACCGGCGGACGGGUGCGUAACGCGUAUGCAACCUGCCUCCAACAGGGGGAUAACGGAGAGAAAUUUCCACUAAUACCCCAUAAUAUCAGAAUCGGCAUCGGUUUUGGGUGAAAACUCCGGUGGUUGGAGAUGGGCAUGCGUUGUAUUAGAUAGUUGGUGAGGUAACGGCUCACCAAGUCAACGAUACAUAGGGGGACUGAGAGGUUAGCCCCCCACACUGGUACUGAGACACGGACCAGACUCCUACGGGAGGCAGCAGUGAGGAAUAUUGGUCAAUGGGGGCAACCCUGAACCAGCCAUGCCGCGUGCAGGAAGACGGCUCUAUGAGUUGUAAACUGCUUUUACAAGGGGAUAAAUCGGUGUACGUGUACACCGUUGAAGGUACCUUGGGAAUAAGGAUCGGCUAUCUCCGUGCCAGCAGCCGCGGUAA